GGGAAGCCGGUGGUGGCAGUUGGGGCUCUGAGGGUUUUUCCUGAGGAGCUGUUUUGUUUGGCUUGUGUGGUUCUAAAAAUAAAGUUAGUUUCUUUUGACAAGUCGCUCCUGAUUGUGCCCAGCCAGACUGCGGCAAACAGCAACUAAUUAUCAUUGCCUAGAAGAUUUUCUUUCUUUAUUAUUGACCAACCCUUCAAUUUAACCAUCAAGCUAUAUACCCCCUCAGACCUGCCUUCUCCUUUUUAUGGCUUUAACUGAGGAGAAAAUGGUUACCUGGUUCUAAGCGCAUUUCACAGAUAUCAUCUCCCUGGAAAAUAACCAGAAGGAUCUGUUAAUUUUCAGCACAUAUGAUUGGAGUUUUUCUAAAGUCUCCUUAUGAUAGAUAUUGUUAGUUGUGUCUAUUCAACUGCCAUCUCCCCAACCCACCUGCCCACACAUUUUUAUAUGCUCAUGGAGCUCACCUCCCAUUUUAGAGGUUGACCAGUUACUUACUCCUUUGAAGCCUGGAUAGUUUUUUAAUAUUUAUUUUUUAGUUUUCGGCGGACACAACAUCUUUGUUUUUUGUAUGUGGUGCUGAGGAUCGAACCUGGACCGCACGCAUGCGAGGCGAGCACGCUACUGCUUGAGCCACAUCCCCAGCCCCUGAAGCCUGGAUAGUUUUGAGGAAGCUUUUUCUCUUAAUGAAGAUACUGUCAUCUUGUGUCUUUAGACGAUAUGUGAAGGUGCUGACUGUGCAGAGGCCAUCUUCACCAUCUGGUGCAGACUUGAGGAUUAAAACCAACGUGCCCAGGAUGGGUUGGAAAUAUGGAAGGAAGCUGGGUCCUUAGUAGGUCACUGAACCUCAGAGUUAUUAAGGAGGAAAAUUGGGAUUUCUAGAUCUGAAUUUCUUCCCUUGCAAACAAACAGUUCCCAAGUUUCAAACUGAAUGUAUGGGAGUGUUAGAGCCAAACACGCAAAUGCCCUACCUCCAGACUUCCUCUAAGAGAUUGUGAGUUUAGUCCACUUUUAUUUGUUUGUGGCUACAAACAACCUAAAAGACACAGCAAAUAUGUUCAAAUAAAUUUAUUUUAUAUUUCUGCUUACUAUUUAAAACUCUGAUAUGGGGGAGGGGGAGAAGCUUGUGAACCUUGGCCUUGAGUUUCCCCUAAAAUUGAGCUCUUAAAUACUCUAAUAAAGUGCUUAUUCAGAUAGCACGAGUCAUGGAAAUAUCAAAAUUAACUUAUGAUGCCAUAUUUUAAAAUCAGCUUUUGAUAGGAUAUAAGUUUAAAAAGCACACAGCAAUUUAAAAGUAGAGAUGGAGGCUUAGAAACUUCUGUAUUGCUGCUAGGAAUUAGAAUUAAAAUAUUUUCCAAGGCUUAUUCUCAAAGCACAUAACUGAGAGCUGACUUUGAGUGUUGGCAAUAAAGGGAAACAUCUCCUAUUACAUUACACUGGACAUAACUUUCUUAUUAAGUAGGAGAAUUGGAAUUUCUGAAUAUCUUCCUUUGCAGCAAAACAGCUCCCAAGUUUCAAAUUGAAUCAGAAGACUAACAAGCAGAGGAAUGAGGACUGAACUUUAAAAAUACGGUAUGUUUUGAAAUCUAUGA
rnacentral:lncRNA from 1 species